UGAAUUGCGAUAACUAGUGUGAAUUGCAUCAUUUUGUGAAUCAUCGAGUCUUUGAACGCACAUUGCACUGGCUGCGGCCAGUAUGCCUGUUUGAGUAUCGGAAAGACCCCACCCGCGAAAGCGGUGACUAUGGGCCGUAGCAGGCUGCUUGGCCUCAAAUGCAGCGAGCGGUCGCCAGCCGACGCGCGGGGCCCCACAGCGACAAGCGCAGCAUGCCUUCAACUGCGGACACCCGUGCGACGGCGGCGCAGGCUCCGGCCACCGCGGCACGCGUCUGUCUCGGCAGACGCAGCACCCUCAGCGAUCUCAAAUCAGGCAAGACUACCCGCCGAACUUAA
rnacentral:misc_RNA from 1 species